UACGAAGGGUGCAAGCGUUAAUCGGAAUUACUGGGCGUAAAGCGUGCGUAGGCGGUUCGUUAAGUCUGUCGUGAAAGCCCUGGGCUCAACCUGGGAAUGGCGAUGGAUACUGGCGAGCUAGAGUCAGGUAGAGGGUGGCGGAAUUCCCGGUGUAGCGGUGAAAUGCGUAGAGAUCGGGAGGAACAUCUGUGGCGAAGGCGGCCACCUGGACCAUGACUGACGCUGAGGCACGAAAGCGUGGGGAGCAAACAGGAUUAGAUACCCUGGUAGUCCACGCCCUAAACGAUGCGAACUGGAUGUUGGGCUCAACUCGGAGCUCAGUGUCGAAGCUAACGCGUUAAGUUCGCCGCCUGGGGAGUACGGUCGCAAGACUGAA
rnacentral:rRNA from 1 species